rnacentral:rRNA from 1 species
GACGAACGCUGGCGGCGUGCUUAACACAUGCAAGUCGAACGGUAAGGCCCUUCGGGGUACACGAGUGGCGAACGGGUGAGUAACACGUGGGUGAUCUGCCCUGCACUUCGGGAUAAGCCUGGGAAACUGGGUCUAAUACCGGAUAGGACUCCGGACUGCAUGGUCGGGGGUGGAAAGCUUUUGCGGUGUGGGAUGGGCCCGCGGCCUAUCAGCUUGCUGGUGGGGUGAUGGCCUACCAAGGCGACGACGGGUAGCCGGCCUGAGAGGGUGACCGGCCCCACGGGCACUGGGAGCCGGCCCAGAUUACAACGGGAGGCAGCAGUGGGGAAAAUGGAACAAUGGGCGCAAGCCUGAUGGAGCGACGCCGCGUGAGGGAUGGGGGCCUUCGGGUUGUAAACCGCUUUCAGCACCGACGAAGCGCAAGUGACGGUAGGUGCAGAAGAAGGACCGGCCAACUACGUGCCAGCCGCCGCAGUAA